rnacentral:tRNA from 3 species
GCCGGAGUGGUGGAAUUGGUAGACACGACGGAUUCAAAAUCCGUUGCCUUCGGGCGUGACGGUUCAAGUCCGUCCUCCGGUACCA